rnacentral:lncRNA from 1 species
UCAAUUUGUGAAUAAUCCAUUUUUCGUACAUACGGUAUAAAGUAAUAUGGAACAUCAACAAAUUGGCAAGUCAUGCGUGAUUAAAUGCUAUUUCUUCUAUGACGAUGAAACGUGUCUGAAUUGAUCAUACUUGAGUAUUGAGUCAUUAGACUGGUGUCGGAUUUGUGUUCAAUAUAAUUAUUACAAACUUCCUUUUGCCAAAGAAAAAGUGCUUACAAGUUACAAGAUAAGAAAGAUAUCUCUUAUAUUUCAUUCUGUAUAUUCUUUUCUUCUUAUCCCAUGAUUCCCUAAUGCUACCAAACAGAACGUUUACAUAUAGACUUUUAAUACAAUGAGAGACAAAUAAUCAAGUUAAUAUGCGUAUAUGACUCUCUGACCAUCUCCCAC